GCACAAGCGGUGGAGCAUGUGGUUUAAUUCGAUGCAACGCGAAGAACCUUACCUACUCUUGACAUCCAGAGAACUUAGCAGAGAUGCUUUGGUGCCUUCGGGAACUCUGAGACAGGUGCUGCAUGGCUGUCGUCAGCUCGUGUUGUGAAAUGUUGGGUUAAGUCCCGCAACGAGCGCAACCCUUAUCCUUUGUUGCCAGCGCGUGAUGGCGGGAACUCAAAGGAGACUGCCGGUGAUAAACCGGAGGAAGGUGGGGAUGACGUCAAGUCAUCAUGGCCCUUACGAGUAGGGCUACACACGUGCUACAAUGGCGUAUACAAAGGGAAGCGACCCCGCGAGGGCAAGCGGAACUCAUAAAGUACGUCGUAGUCCGGAUUGGAGUCUGCAACUCGACUCCAUGAAGUCGGAAUCGCUAGUAAUCGUAGAUCAGAAUGCUACGGUGAAUACGUUCCCGGGCCUUGUACACACCGCCCGUCACACCAUGGGAGUGGGUUGCAAAAGAAGUAGGUAGCUUAACCUCCGGGAGGGCGCUUACCACUUUGUGAUUCAUGACUGGGGUGAAGUCGUAACAAGGUAACCGUAGGGGAACCUGCGGUUGGAUCACCUCCUUACCUAGUUGGUAUUGAAUGUGAGUGUUCACACAGAUUGUCUGAUAGAAAGAAGCAGAUACCGGGAAUAGGCUUGUAGCUCAGGUGGUUAGAGCGCACCCCUGAUAAGGGUGAGGUCGGUGGUUCAAGUCCACUCAGGCCUACCAAAACCGAAUUGAUACUGCGUUAUGAAAAGACUCGUUUACCUUAGUAAACUUCGCCUUUCCAUGCCUUGUCUCAAUGCGGUUUCCUCUUUUCAUGAUGAAAAGACACGCCCGGGAAAACCAAAUAAUGGGGCUAUAGCUCAGCUGGGAGAGCGCCUGCCUUGCACGCAGGAGGUCAGCGGUUCGAUCCCGCUUAGCUCCACCAUUAUCUAAUAUUGUUUGGGUAGGGGAGCGUUCUGUAAGCCUGUGAAGGUGUGCUGUGAGGCAUGCUGGAGGUAUCAGAAGUGCGAAUGCUGACAUAAGUAACGAUAAUGCGGGUGAAAAACCCGCACGCCGGAAGACCAAGGGUUCCUGUCCAACGUUAAUCGGGGCAGGGUGAGUCGACCCCUAAGGCGAGGCUGAAAAGCGUAGUCGAUGGGCAACGGGUUAAUAUUCCCGUACUGGUGGUAACUGCGAAGGGGGGACGGAGAAAGCUAAAUCAUCCGGGCGACGGUUGUCCCGGUUUAAGCGUGCAGGUGGACUGACCAGGCAAAUCCGGUCGGUUGUUAACACUGAGGCGUGACGACGAGCCACUACGGUGGUGAAGUGAUUGAUGCUCUGCUUCCGGGAAAAGCCUCUAAGCUCCAGGUUACCAUUAAUCGUACCCCAAACCGACACAGGUGGUCAGGUAGAGAAUACUCAGGCGCUUGAGAGAACUCGGGUGAAGGAACUAGGCAAAAUGGUGCCGUAACUUCGGGAGAAGGCACGCUGGCAUUAGGUGAAGUGGUUUACCCACGGAGCUGAAGCCAGCCGCAGAUACCAGCUGGCUGCAACUGUUUAUUAAAAACACAGCACUGUGCAAACACGAAAGUGGACGUAUACGGUGUGACGCCUGCCCGGUGCCGGAAGGUUAAUUGAUGAGGUCAGCCGCAAGGCGAAGCUUCUGAUCGAAGCCCCGGUAAACGGCGGCCGUAACUAUAACGGUCCUAAGGUAGCGAAAUUCCUUGUCGGGUAAGUUCCGACCUGCACGAAUGGCGUAAUGAUGGCCAGGCUGUCUCCACCCGAGACUCAGUGAAAUUGAACUCGCUGUGAAGAUGCAGUGUACCCGCGGCAAGACGGAAAGACCCCGUGAACCUUUACUAUAGCUUGACACUGAACAUUGAGCCUUGAUGUGUAGGAUAGGUGGGAGGCAACGAAGUGUGGACGCCAGUCUGCACGGAGCCAUCCUUGAAAUACCACCCUUUAACGUUUGAUGUUCUAACCCGGGUCCAUAAUCUGGAUCGGGGACCGUGUCUGGUGGGUAGUUUGACUGGGGCGGUCUCCUCCCAAAGAGUAACGGAGGAGCACGAAGGUUGGCUAAGCAUGGUCGGACAUCAUGCGGUUAGUGCAAAGGCAUAAGCCAGCUUGACUGCGAGAGUGACGGCUCGAGCAGGUACGAAAGUAGGUCUUAGUGAUCCGGUGGUUCUGAAUGGAAGGGCCAUCGCUCAACGGAUAAAAGGUACUCCGGGGAUAACAGGCUGAUACCGCCCAAGAGUUCAUAUCGACGGCGGUGUUUGGCACCUCGAUGUCGGCUCAUCACAUCCUGGGGCUGAAGUAGGUCCCAAGGGUAUGGCUGUUCGCCAUUUAAAGUGGUACGCGAGCUGGGUUUAGAACGUCGUGAGACAGUUCGGUCCCUAUCUGCCGUGGGCGCUGGAAGAUUGAGAGGGGUUGCUCCUAGUACGAGAGGACCGGAGUGAACGCACCACUGGUGUACGGGUUGUGAUGCCAAUUGCAUUGCCCGGUAGCUAAGUGCGGAAGAGAUAACCGCUGAAAGCAUCUAAGCGGGAAACUUGCCUCGAGAUGAGUCUUCCCUGACCCUUUAAGGGUCCUGAAGGAACGUUUGAGACUAAGACGUUGAUAGGCUGGGUGUGUAAGCGCAGCGAUGCGUUGAGCUGACCAGUACUAAUGAACCGGGAGGCUUAACCUG
rnacentral:rRNA from 1 species